rnacentral:rRNA from 1 species
UACAGAGGGGGCAAGCGUUGUUCGGAAUUACUGGGCGUAAAGGGCGCGUAGGUGGCCUUCUAAGUGGAACGUGAAAUCCCUGGGCUCAACCCAGGAACUGCGUCCAAGACUGGGAGGCUUGAAUCCGGGAGAGGGAUGCGGAAUUCCAGGUGUAGCGGUGAAAUGCGUAGAUAUCUGGAGGAACACCGGUGGCGAAGGCGGCAUCCUGGACCGGUAUUGACACUGAGGCGCGAAAGCCAGGGGAGCAAACGGG